rnacentral:lncRNA from 1 species
UUUAAUCUUGAAACUAUUCAGAAUUGGGUUUUGUAAAUGAUAUAUUUAUAUACCAUAAUGUUUUUCUAACUAGGUAAUUAAUUGCCUCAAUACUUUCUCCAGUGAUUUGAAAUGCUACCAAUAUCAUUUACUGAAUCUUCCUAUAUCCCUGAGUCUGUUUCAGGAUCAUUGAUUUUGUUGUGCUGGUAUUGUUUGUAUUCCAACAUUGCACUUUUCAAAUGACUACUUUAGGUUUGUUACUUUUUCUAUGACAUAUAGUCUUUGUGUGCUGACGAGGGUCUUCUCAAAGUAGUGUGUUCAGAUAGCCUCCUGCCUUAGCCUUCCAAAUACUGGGACUACAAACAUGCUCCACCAUGCCCAGCUUGUUAGGAAUUUUGGAUUGUGGUACUGCUCCUCUGUUUUUUAAACAUUUGUUUAAUAAUUUUUAGAAACAGCCAAACAUUUCAUAAAAAUCUUACUGUUUUAUAAAGAUUAUAUUGAAUUAUCACCUUAACUUUGAGAAAGUAGCUAUUUUUCCAUUAUAGUUUUCCUGACCCCAGGGCUGUAGUAGACAAGGUUAAUCAGAACUUGUUGAUGAUUUAAAUGAUUCUCAUUUAAGGCUUUUGUCUUUUGUAAUAUGUUUACUUUCAUGCUUGUCUUUCUCAUCUAUAAACUUUCUGGGAUCUUUUGUUUCAUUUAUGUAUUUAGAAUGUCUGGCAUAGAAUGGAUUAUUCAGUAAAUUUUACACUAUAGCAGUUGUUCCCAAAUUUGAUUAAAAAUUGUGGACUCACCCCCAUAGAAAAAUGCACAAAUACACAGAAUUUUAAAUAAAAGUUCAAGGGGAAGAUUGGACACUCUAUCUGAUGUCUAUAUAAUCUGUAUUUUAUAGUGUACAAUAGUGGCUGAAUACAUUUUUUUGUGGAAAGAUUUAAUACUUUAACCACAGGCUGCCGAGCAAAGCUUUAUAGCAAUAGAUACUUUUGGGCCUGAGACUGAGGGAGUGAAUAGGAGUAUCUUGGAUUUUAAAGGGCAGAAGGGGAGUGUUUUAGGGAGACUAGUCAACCAUCUGAAAGCCUAUUUAUUCUACACGAUUUUUGGAUCAUUCCUUUUAUUUUUGUUAACUUUCUUAUAUCCCUUUGGGCCUUCUCCUACCUUCCCCACCUUUCCCACUGCCAGUCAGCAUCCACUGUUGUAUCCCUUGCCAGGUAUUUGCAUCGUUUAUCCUGGAAAGCUGAUUGCAUUGUAGAUAGGUUUCCAUACUCCAAGUCUCCUUCUAAAUUCUUUCUACUUUAGCUGAAACUUGGUUUCUAUCACUGUGAUAAAAUACCAAGAACAAAAGCAACUUGAGGAGGAAAGGGUUUGUUUAGUCUUGUUCUUCCUGAAGGGAAGUUAGGGAAGGAACUCACCGUAGGAACUGAAAGAGACCUUGGAGGAACUGCUGCUCACUGGCUUGCUCCCUAUGGUUAGCCUGCUUUUUUUUUUUUUAACUCAGAAUCACCUGUCCUGGUAUGGUUCUACCUGGCCUAGGCCUUCCCACACCAAUCACUAAUUGAGAAAAUGUCUCAUAGACUUGCCUAUAGGCCGGUUUAGUGGGGGCACUUUCUCAAUUGAGCUUAUCUCUUCUCAGAUUUCUAGGUAUGUGUCAAGUUGAUAAAAGCCAACCAGCACUGCUGGCUUCUCCCAAAGAGUUAUACUUUCCCUAUUGCUAUGGCGCUUUUCAGAUAGGGGGUCUCACUAGGUUGCCUUAACUGAUCUCUGAUCUCAAACUUGUGAGCUCACUCCUCCUGCCUCAGUCUUCCAAGUAGCCAGGAAUACAGGUGUGUGGCACAAGAAUAAUGUACAUAACUGGUUUCUUUUCUAAUACACAUUAGGUGGUUUUCAGCAUUUUAGUUUAUAAACAAUGCCACAUUGAGUAUCUCAAUAAAUGUUAUGUUUUUGUUAUGUAAAUAUGCUUAUAGGAUAGAUUUGUGGAAUUUGAACACUUGGAUCAAAUGCAUGAACAUUUAAAAAUUGAUAAAUAGCCAUGAGAUGGGGAGAUAAAAAAGGGUGGGGGAGAGGAUAAUUAGAAUAUAUCAUAUAAAUGUAUGGAAAUUGUUAAAGAACGAUAUUAAAUAAAAGUAUUUGAUAACU